rnacentral:rRNA from 1 species
AUGCCGCGUGUGUGAAGAAGGCCUUCGGGUUGUAAAGCACUUUCAGCGAGGAGGAAAGGUCAGUAGCUAAUAUCUGCUGACUGUGACGUUACUCGCAGAAGAAGCACCGGCUAACUCCGUGCCAGCAGCCGCGGUAAU